rfam:Salmo salar isolate Sally breed double haploid chromosome ssa01, whole genome shotgun sequence.
AGUAUGACUGACUGUAAGUCGCUUUGGAUAAAAGUGUCUGCUAAAUAGCAUAGA